CAGGCUGAAACCCGCCUGCAUGAACGCGGAAUCGCUAGUAACCGCAGGUCAGCAUACUGCGGUGAAUACGUUCCCGGGCCUUGUACACACCGCCCGUCACGUCAUGGAAGCCGAGAACGAUUGAAGUCGCUGAGCUAACCCGCAAGGGAGGCAGGUGCCGAGGUCGGGUUCGGUAACUGGGACGAAGUCGUAACAAGGUAGCUGUACCGGAAGGUGCGGCUGGAUCACCUCCUUU
rnacentral:rRNA from 1 species